rnacentral:misc_RNA from 1 species
AAAAUCCGACCCCUCUUUCUUUCUCGACUCUCAGCUUCAAGCCUUUAGCUCGACCCUCUCGGCUUCUCUUCCUCUAUCAUCACUACAAAAACCAAAGUUUCCUCUCUCCUUCUUUCUCUUCAUUUCUGGUAAAGAAACCAACGCAGAAGGUAGCAGAGUAAAACGACGACGUGCUUCAUGCUUUGAGAGACAAAUUGAAACAACUACUAAUGGCCAUAGCUGACCAGAAGUCAUCGUCUGAUAACAACAAUAAUAAUAGUAAUAACAACAAAGUCUGGGGCUUCUUCAAGCUGCCGUUUCGAGGAAGCAACGCCAACACGACACAGUCUUCUUCCUUGUCAACGCAUCUUCACAACCAAAAUAACCCGCAAGUUGAAGGAUCGAAUGCUCAUGCUUCGAAUUCGGUGUCUUCGGUUGCCAGAUCGCUUUUGCCAACGCGGCGUCG